AUUGAACGCUGGCGGCAGGCCUAACACAUGCAAGUCGAGCGGUUGAGGUAGCUUGCUACCGAUGCAGCGGCGGACGGGUGAGUAAUACAUGGGAAUCUGCCUGGUAGUGGGGGACAACGUUUCGAAAGGAACGCUAAUACCGCAUACGCCCUACGGGGGAGAGGGGGGGAUCUUCGGACCUCUCGCUAUCAGAUGAGCCCAUGUCGGAUUAGCUUGUUGGUGAGGUAAAGGCUCACCAAGGCGACGAUCCGUAACUGGUCUGAGAGGAUGAUCAGUCACACUGGAAGUGAGACACGGUCCAGACUCCUACGGGAGGCAGCAGUGGGGAAUAUUGGACAAUGGGCGCAAGCCUGAUCCAGCCAUGCCGCGUGUGUGAAGAAGGCCUUAGGGUUGUAAAGCACUUUCAGUGGGGAGAAAGGUCAUUCACCUAAUACGUGAGUGAAUUGAUGUUACCCACAGAAGAAGCACCGGCUAACUCCGUGCCAGCAGCCGCCGCCG
rnacentral:rRNA from 1 species